UACGUAGGGUGCGAGCGUUGUCCGGAAUUAUUGGGCGUAAAGAGCUCGUAGGCGGUUUGUCGCGUCGACCGUGGAACCCUUGUGCUCAACACGAGGCGUGCGGUCGAUACGGGCAGACUUGAGUUCGGCAGGGGAGACUGGAAUUCCUGGUGUAGCGGUGAAAUGCGCAGAUAUCAGGAGGAACACCGGUGGCGAAGGCGGGUCUCUGGGCCGAUACUGACGCUGAGGAGCGAAAGCGUGGGGAGCGAACAGG
rnacentral:rRNA from 1 species